CUGGCGGCACGCCUAACACUGCAAGUCGAACGCAGUAGCAAUACUGAGUGGCAAACGGGUGAGUAUAAUGUGGGAAUCUGCCUUUUGGUUUGGAAUAACACGGGGAAACUUGUGCUAAUACCGAAUAAGCCCUUACGGGGAAAGUUUUAACGCCGAAAGAUGAGCCCGCACUUGAUUAGCUAGUUGGUAAGGUAAAAGCUUACCAAGGCAACGAUCAAUAGCUGUUCUUAGAGGAAGACCAGCCACAUUGGGACUGAGACACGGCCCAGACUCCUACGGGAGGCAGCAGUGGGGAAUCUUGCACAAUGGGGGAAACCCUGAUGCAGCGAUGCCGCGUGAGUGAAGAAGGCCCUUGGGUUGUAAAACUCUUUCGUCGGGGAAGAAAAUGACUGUACCCGAAUAAGAAGGUCCGGCUAA
rnacentral:rRNA from 1 species